rnacentral:rRNA from 1 species
UACGGGGGGGGGCAAGCGUUGUUCGGAAUUACUGGGCGUAAAGGGCUCGUAGGUGGCCAACUAAGUCAGACGUGAAAUCCCUCAGCUUAACUGGGGAACUGCGUCUGAUACUGGAUGGCUUGAGAUUGGGAGAGGGAUGCGGAAUUCCAGGUGUAGCGGUGAAAUGCGUAGAUAUCAGGAGGAACACCAAUGGCGAAGGCAGCUCGCUGGGACGUGACUGACGCUGAGACGCGAAAGCGUGGGGAGCAAACAGG